AUCACAUGAGUAUCUAUGUACAAUUAACUUCCAAUUAAUAAGAUUAAAUCAAUUAAAUGUGAUA
rnacentral:tRNA from 1 species